UCAAGCUGAAGAACCAAGAUCCAAUGAUUUGUGCUGUCAUGGUAUCUAGUUCUUUGUCCUUUUCAUGCUGCGGAUUGUGUGAGGACAUUGUGCUGGCGUGUGGACCUUUAUUGAGUCAUACUGUGCAAAGUUUCAUAAGCUGUCUUAUGUACAGCCUUUGGCAAAAGAAAUGACACCUGUAGGAGCACAAAUGCUGCUUUCUCAUUGAGGAGAUUGUGGUGUUGUAGGACUUCUAGGAGCUAGUACUUUAUGACAUUUUCGCCAACGCAGCAGGAGGCAAACAAGACAUUUCAUAUUCAGCUCCCAUCAUUAAUAUAGUGACUGCAUUUCUUUUGACAAAGGCUGUGCAUUUAGUAUUGUGGCUGGUGUGAGAAGUCUGUUAUUGGCAACACUUUGUUCUCUGCUUUCUCUAUCUGCAUGUGUAUGACUAGUAGAUAAGGAAUACUGUAUUUGCAUCUCCACUAUCUAGGAUUUGUAGAAUGGUUGAUAGAUUUUGUCAGUGCGUGUACCUUUGGGAAUUAUCUUUCAUGUGUGUGACUGGUACCUUCAGUUUAUGUUCUGUGGGCAUGAAAAAAUGUGAGCUGUUCUAUUCAUCUCACAUUUUAUGGCCUUCUGGAUGUAGUAGUCUUCCUUGGAAUUUUUUCCCAAUACUCUGAGCCAUGUCAUUGUCUUCGUGCAUGCAAGCAUUCCUUUACAGGAGUUGAAUGAUCUGCCUUCACUAAGAAUUGACACUUUUUCCUGGAGGAUUGAUGGGUACAUUGCUAAUGUUGUUUAUGUUUUUUGUUUGCACUUAUAACGAUAACCUCUUUUCUAAUCGUCUGGUAAUAAACAUCAUCUUUCUCUUUCUUACUUUUAGAGUUUCCUUAGCAUUUUAUUCUCUUCGACGCUCCAGUAGAAUAUCAGUGAUGGCACUUGGAAGUUUUAUUUAUUAUUAUGACACUCAUCUCCAAUUUAAUAUGUGAGCCAGUUCUUAAGAUCAGUGUGGUUUUUUGGUUUUUUUUUUUUCAUUCUUACAUUGGUUCAUCUAAGACACUGGAAUUCUGGUACCACUGCUGUUCCAUCUUUUUCUGAUACAGAGUUCAUACAAAUGUUUGAAAAACUUGAAAAGCUUUAGUCUGAAAAGUGCAUUUUCAAGGCCUUACAUGUCUUAGAAUAUUUAUGGGUCCCUAAAAUUCUUGAAUAUUAGUUUUAUGUAAACAGUUGCUGAAUGAAUAUUCAAAUUAUUCAGACUUGGAGAGACUCGCCAAAUAAUAUAUAAGGACUACAAAAAACUAAUGGUAUCUUUAUUCUGAAAGUGGAUCUAAAAACUUUUUGUUGCGUUACCAUGCGCAUGUAUUGCAAGUGCAGAUAUGGCUGAUGGUGGUUUCGUUAAGUCCAAACUGUAGUGUAAAAAUCAGUCCUAGUUGGGAUUGGGGUCUGAUUCGUUUUGGCUGCCUAUGAAAACCUCAAAUGCCGUUAACGGAAAGCCCUGGUGUUCGAAACAUCUUCAGUUCGGCAUUCCAUGUCCGGAGCUUCUCAAUGAAAGGUGAAGUGUCCUCCACGCUUUCUCGUAGAACUAGUAUGAGAGUUGGAGGUUGUCUGCAUUCUUGAAAUCUGCUCUCACUGAUAGUGAACGGCCACAGUUUGCACGAUCAAGCCAUUCAUGUGUGCAGAGAGCAAAGCUGAAACACGCCGUGAUUUUUCCUAAAUAACAUGUAUUGCCCAUCAGAUUUAGUGUCGUGUUUGACAGCAUCUGACACAAUGGUGUCAUUUCAAGUUUGUCAGCAUUAAAUAUUUGCGAUGGCAAAAGAAAUGAUCGUGAACACGAUAGAAGCACACUUGCCGGGGCACAAUGCAGAGUUGAAUGUAUUGAAUGAGGCGGUGAACGAGUGAGUUGGAUAUACGCUUACUACAGCACUGUACUUUUACGCGGGCUUUCCAGGGGAUGUUACGACCGUUCGAUAUAGACAAUCACUCGACAUAUCUGGGUUUGACUGUAUCUACACGCUAAAUAUCUAUUCUGUCUACAUAUGCUGCAUGUCCACGUCGCCAGGGCGCAGCUGGAGAUGCAUCUGCACUCGUGCAUGUCCAGUGGCACUCGAUGGUGUCUGGUGACGGCUGCUUGCGACUAGAAUGGGACUGCGGAGCAGUGCCGCGGUGCAGUGUAGGAGGGGCUCAGGAGCGGGAUCUGUUGCCGGCUAAUUCCUGGUUGGCCCUUCUCUCGUCGAGGUCUCCUAUGCUGCUUGUCCACGUCGCCAGGGCACAGCUGGAGGUACAUCUGCUCUCGUGCAUGUCCAGUGGCACUCGACAGUGUCUGGUGACGGCUGCUUGCGACUAGAAUGGGACUCUGGAGCAGUGCCACGGUGCAGUGUAGCUGGGGCUCAGAAGCAGGAUCUGUUGCCGGCCAUCUCCUGGUUGGCCCCACUCUGGUCGAGGUCUCCUAUGCUGCUUGUCCAUGUCCCCAGGGCACAGCUGGAGAUGCGUCUGCACUGGUGCAUGUCCACAUCAGCACGGCUUGUUCAGCAACCAUCGUCUUCUUUUUCAUCGUCUCCUCUCUCCUUUGCAGCUAAGUUAACAGCUGCAUGGCAUUCCGCUGAUUGUUCUUUUUAGCCUAUGCAGAGCACCACCUGUAACAAUGCAAAAAUUAUGUUGCACAAAGCCUUUCGCAAGUGCUCCACAAGGUAACAAACUCUGCCUAUGGACACUGUGUAUCGGGAAACAGUCCUGGAUAUCUUCUUCUGGGAAUGUCGCUAAACGAUUGUAAAGUGGCAUGUCCACAACCAAUGUUCUCUUCGCUGUUUGUAUUUAAUUCUGACUUGUUUCGUACCUGUCAAUGUGCUCAUCUGUUUUUUUUUUUUACAGUAGUACUGUAUUUAUUUAUUCAGGUACCUACAUCACCCAAUUCAGCAUUAUUGCAGGUGGGUCGAAAAAAUAACUGGAAUGAAAAACAGGGAAGCAGACAGGUACAGCUGUCACUUGAACAUUAAACUAAAACAUCUUCCAAGGAUGAGGAAAAUACACUUGUGGGAACAUCCACAGUACUUGCAUCCGACUGAUUUCACUCAUCAAGUGUAAAAGCAAAGCAAAAUGUGCAAAUACAUCUGUACGAUACCUUAUAACCCCUUUAGCAUGAUCAUUUCUGUCUGAUAAGUAGUAUAGGCUCAUCAUGUAGAAAGUUUAAUACCAGUUUCAUCAUGAAAAAUGGAAUGAAAGAACUUUAAUUGCAACGAUUUUCUUGGAUGUUGAAGAGCUGUCCAAGCUUGUUCAAUUUUAAUGUGAGUGCUGUUCAAGAUGUUUCUUUUUUUUUUCAUGGAAACU